rnacentral:lncRNA from 1 species
UUUUUAAAUAGUUUUCAUAUUAUAUUUUUGGACUUAUUAACAUGCUUGUUGCAUGUCAUUGUGGAAGCCCAAACUGUGUGAGUGCGAUUUUCAAUCGCAAAAUUACUGAUAAAAACCUAUUGGCUCGUAGAGGUAGUGUAGAGAUUCUCUACACUAGAGAACUGUGGAUAAACAUCAAUCAACCGGGACGAUUUUACGAUCUCACUUAUUCAAAACUAAAGACUCGGAGGAUCCAGUACUUGGAGUCUUUUAUUACUGUCAAUGAUUACAGACGAACCAGCUUAUUUAGAGGACGAAAAUCAUCCUGAUCAAGUUCCAUCACAGGAAAUGGUACGCAAGCCUCAAAAAAGUGCGUAGGUAACAUGAUGUUGAAAGAACGAGGAGAUUGGAAAAGAAAGAAGUAAAUUGAGAGCUAUACAGAUAAAUCUAAAAGUAAACAUAGAGGACAAUGAUGCAUUAGAGACUGGCAUAUCAUCUCAUACGGACAACACCGCAGGAGAGUUUUUUUAUAUUUGAACAAUUCAGCUUCGCUUCAAAGAAAGUUGGAUGCAUUGGAAAAAAAAUUUAAGCUCACCGUUUGGACUUACGGAAGAUAUUGAAAAUGCUAUAAAGUAGGGAUAUUAUACCGGAUUUGUAUAUACUUUUGUAAAUAAUACAGGCUGUAACAAAAAUACAGGUCAUA